rnacentral:lncRNA from 1 species
UAACUGCUCCAUUAAGGCUGCAGUAAUCCUCCGUCACCGCAGGACUGAAGUCUCCACUGAGUCACAUGUCUCUUUGGAAGGUACUCACUGUAUUCACUUUUUCUUUCAAGACAGAAGCCCCUUCCCUCGUCCUUUCCUGUCUAAUUUCCAUUAGCCAGAUGGAAAGCAAGUUUGACUGUCCAGAGCACAUGAAGUAUAGCUCCUUGGUCCUUUCUAUCCCCCUACAUGGAUAACAACAUUUCAGCCUCUGUCUCCAAAGCAACUGAAUUUUAAUUGACUCAACUGUAAUAUCCACACAGGCAGGGUAGGGCAGAACUUUCAAAAGAUUGUGGAAAUUGGGCACCAGCAUCAUUUUCAUCUAGCCAUUAGGUGAAACAUCAAACCUCCUUACUUGUCCCUGGAAAUAGAUUCUUCAUUCCCACACUAAACUUCUGCAGGAAAAGUAUUAUUGUCCAAGUCAUAAUAACUCAGAAUAAGCAGUGCGUAAGGACAGUCUAAAUCAACUUCCAUUCACCUGCCGUUCAGCGCUUUGGGACUCUUCGUCAGCAAGCUCCUUCUGACAGUUAUUUAUAGCUCAACAUUUCAGCAAGAUAAUUGCAGUAGUCAGAACAGGAAAAGACUGCUCUGUGAAAUUACAGAACCUCUCUCCUCUGAGUCAAAGGAGAAGUGGGGUUUGGAGGAAGGUAGAAAAGACAUGGAAAGUGUUCUUGGGAAGUCCAGCAUCCUGAAGCACAGCAAAAUAAGCUGCAGCUGCUCUCCAAAGCUGAUACAAGGACACAGCACAUCUCGGCAGCUCUCCAAAGCUGAUACAAGGACGCAGCACAUCUCGGCAACAGGAUG